rnacentral:rRNA from 1 species
UACGAAGGGGGCUAGCGUUGUUCGGAAUCACUGGGCGUAAAGCGCACGCAGGCGGAUCGUUAAGUCAGGGGUGAAAUGCCGAGGCUCAACCUCGGAACUGCCUUUGAUACUGGCGAUCUUAGAGUCCGGGAGAGGUGAGUGGAACUCCGAGUGUAGAGGGGAAAUUCGUAGAUAUUCGGAAGAACACCAGUGGCGAAGGCGGCUCACUGGCCCGGUACUGACGCUCAGGUGCGAAAGCGUGGGGAGCAAACAGG